rnacentral:rRNA from 1 species
UAACGAAUCUUCCGCAAUGGGCGAAAGCCUGACGGAGCAAUGCCGCGUGCGGGAUGAAGCGCCUAUGGCGUGUAAACCGCUGUCAGGGGACGGAACCAAUGAUUGUCCCCAGAGGAAGUGGCGACUAACUCUGUGCCAGCAGUCGCGGUAAUACAGAGGCCACGAGCGUUAAUCGGAAUCACUGGGCUUAAAGGGUGCGCAGGCGGCUCGAAAAGCGUUCCGUGAAAUCCCCCGGCUCAACCGGGGAACUGCGGAGCGAACUGCCGAGCUUGAGGCAAGUAGGGGCGGGCAGAACUGUAGGUGGAGCGGUGAAAUGCGUAGAUAUCUACAGGAAUGCCGAUGGUGAAGACGGCCCGCUGGGCUUGACCUGACGCUCAUGCACGAAAGCGUGGGGAGCAAA